rnacentral:rRNA from 1 species
ACGCUCGACACCUACGAGGCAGCAGUGGGGAAUAUUGCACAAUGGGGGAAACCCUGAUGCAGCGACGCCGCGUGAGCGAAGAAGUAUUUCGGUAUGUAAAGCUCUAUCAGCAGGGAAGAAAAUGACGGUACCUGACUAAGAAGCCCCGGCUAACUACGUGCCAGCAGCCNCGGUAAUCUGAGCGGGCUGGCAAGGC